rnacentral:misc_RNA from 1 species
GAUGAAGAACGUAGCGAAAUGCGAUAAGUAGUGUGAAUUGCAGAAUUCAGUGAAUCAUCGAAUCUUUGAACGCACAUUGCGCCUCCUGGUAUUCCGGGAGGCAUGCCUGUUCGAGGGUCAUUAAAAUCACUCAAGCUUAGGUUUACCUAUUGCUUGGUCUUGGAGAUGGAAGCCAAUUUAUUGGAAUCCUCUUCGAAAUUCAAUGGCGAAGACCCUUGCUCUCCCAAGUGUAGUAAUAACUUAUGUCACUGAAGGAAGCGAGAAAUCUUCUGCCGUAACCCCCAUAUUUUCUAUGAUUGACCUCGGAUCAGGUAGGGAUACCCGCUGAACUUAAGCAUAUCAAUAAGCGGAGGA